CUUAAACAGAAACAGCUUGUUGGAAAAUCUAAGGGUUUUCUUUCUUCUGAAUUUUUUGGUUCUUCACUGCAUAAACGUGGGAGAAAUGGUUCUAAUCAAAAUCCUCAUCCAAGGUAAGGAGCAGCGGCUGCGCUUUGCUGGAGCAGCCGUGAAGAGAUACCCCACAUCCAAGAUAAGAGAAACUCAAGUAAGACGCCAACAAGUUUCCUACCUUUCAUGGAAGUCCACCUUAAGGUCUGUUAGAACUCUGGUGCACUGGCUGAUCAUUUGCAAAUCCCACUGCAACAAACCAAAAGGGCGGGGCUCCUGAGACAUCUGUGGACCAGAGGACCUGGCAGAGACUGCUAAGCUUUCCGUGGGACUGACUACUAGCAGCCUGGCUGCAGGAACAGUCGACCUGAGGUACUCCUUCCACAUAUCAACAGCUUGUCAGUGGUGG
ensembl:lncRNA